ACACCGGUACAGUUUUUGCGGGGAAGCGAAAGUUGCUGGAAUUUUGUCUUCUUCUAAAAAUAAGUGUCUGAUACAUGUCGUUGCAGUCUGUCUUUGGAAGCUGUUGAAGUAACAAGAAAGAGGCUGACAUAGUGUUUUGGUAGGGAGAAGUUUGAGUAUGUACAGUUGUUUGACCUUCUUACCAUGUGACAGUCCCAGAAGAUGUUACCAUUAUGAAUAAAUGCAGGGAGUAUUAUGCUUUUGUAUGUUAAACAAAGGUCUCAAAGCAUUUAUAUGCUGUAUGACUAGAUACUUGCUUCUGAAAUAAUUGUACAACACAGCUCUAAGACUGACAUUCCUGACAAGAUGUGAACCUUCUGGACUUUAUGUCAGCCUGGCAUAUUCAUUUCCUUCCUGUAGCUUUGUGUAUCCCUCAAUUUACUAAGUACAUAUCUCCAUUAAAGAUAAUGCUAAUAGAUAUGUUUUAGUAAUAAAUGUGUGAUAGCUUUGUAAUGUAAACACUUUAAAAAUAUAAUGAAAUGUACUUUGAUAACAAACAUUGAAAUAAAAAUGUAUCAGUAUAUUGUAUCAGUCAGUAGAACAUGAAGUACAUUUGUAUCUUUAUAUCAAGAAAAUUAAAAUAAUUAUAUUCAAAUGCUUUGACACUGAUUUUAUAUUGGUUGCCUAGAAAGUGUGUGAGUUAAUGUUUUUCAAUAUUUCAGAACUUGAAGACAAUGGUUAGUGCGGAAGGGACAUAAAAGUAAUGUGAAAGUAACAGAUAUUAAUAAGAAGUGCUACAAGAGUGUUGUCAUGUGAAAAGGACUUUACCCCAACUGUGCUGCAUGAUGUAUAUUCAAGAGUGAGACAGUCAUUCACCAUCUGUAAACUGAGAUGGACCCACACAUGAAAUAUGUUGACUUUUCUAUGUAUUAUCGUAUGUACAGAAUGUGUUUAUGACAAGACUGUAUACAUAAUUGUUAAAUCAUUUUUUACUUCCAUUAUGACAUGCAUGCAAGAAGAAAGCAUUAAUUAAACAAUUGCAUUCAUAGAAAUGUUAAAAUGUGAUCAAUCUAAUUUAAAGAAUAACCUUUAAUUGGGCUUUCUAAGUUUCAUAUUAUUUUUGGUGGAGAUUGACCCAGUCAUUCAGCAACUUAUACUGUCUGUGAGUCAUUUCUUGUAUGUUAUAGUUUUCUUAAUAAUGCAUAAAAUAUCAAAAUAAUGGUUAGAUGAACUCAUUCAUCACUUGUACAUUAAUGUUAAAGCAGUUCAACAUUUUACGAUAGCUUAAUUAAUAUCCUAUUAACCAGAUUUGUCACAUAUUUUCAUAUAAACAUUUGUAUAAUACAGUCUAAUCUAAUCUAGAAAUGAUGUUCUGCAAUUUUUUAGUUAUACUUUAUUUUGUUUCGAUGUCUCAACAUAUAAUUACUAACAUCAACAAAACUUAGAUAUUUUACAAUUUGGUUGGUAUAAAUGGUUGUUUUGUUGGUAUGUUUUAUUCAUUUCCAUCCAGGGGAAUAAAGAAAUAUACAUUUUAAAAUAUCUCAUUAUUCCAGAAAAGUACACUACAUAAUCAAGAUAAAAGAAAUAAGAAAAAUUAUGUUGGUGGAAUUUUAUUUUAAAAAAUUGAUAUACA
rnacentral:lncRNA from 1 species